UACGGAGGGUGCAAGCGUUGUCCGGAAUCACUGGGCGUAAAGGGCGCGUAGGCGGCUCAUGAAGGCUGUGGUGAAAGUCCGGGGCUCAACCUCGGAUCGGCCGUGGCGACUCGUGGGCUGGAGCACUGUAGAGGCGGGUGGAAUUCCGGGUGUAGCGGUGGAAUGCGUAGAGAUCCGGAAGAACACCAGUGGCGAAGGCGGCCCGCUGGGCAGUGGCUGACGGCUGAGGCGGCGACAGCGUGGGGAGCAAACGAGGAU
rnacentral:rRNA from 1 species